ACUCAAAGGAAUAGACGGGGGCCCGCACAAGCGGAGGAGCAUGUGGCUCAAUUCGAUGCAACGCGAAGAACCUUACCAGGACUUGACAUGCAGCUGCACGUCCGUCGAAAGGCGGAUUCCUUCGAGGGUGCUGCACAGGUGCUGCAUGGCUGUCGUCAGUUCGUGCCGUGAGGUGUUGGGUUAAGUCCCGCAACGAACGCAACCCCUGUGUUUAGUUGCCACCGCCGCAAGGCGAGCACUCUAAACAGACUGCCUGUACAAAACAGGAGGAAGGUGGGGACGACGUCAAGUCAGUAUGGCCCUUAUGUCCUGGGCUGCACACGUGCUACAAUGGCCGGUACAGAGGGAAGCAAGACCGCGAGGUGGAGCAAAUCCUUAAAACCGGUCCCAGUUCGGAUUGGAGGCUGAAACUCGCCUCCAUGAAGUUGGAUUCGCUAGUAACGGCGUAUCAGCUACGACGCCGUGAAUACGUUCCCGGGCCUUGUACACACCGCCCGU
rnacentral:rRNA from 1 species